rnacentral:lncRNA from 1 species
UUCCUGCACACUUUGCAACUUUGUAGAACAAAAUGCUGAUGAGAAUGAUAAAUCUCCGAGCUUUGCGUGCUCUUGCUUUUUGAUUGGUUAGGAUGUAGUUUUGAAAUCACCUCCAAUUUUGAGCUUUGACUUUGGACUAGUAAAGGUAGUAAAAACAAUAUAAAGAAAGGGAAAUAAACUUCAAAACUGCUUUUUUUUUUCCCGUGCGAGAAGUUCACAAUAAAUUGUGGCGAUGCUUCUCAAAUAAAAUUAGAUUCCGCUGCUGCCUGCUGCUUCCCUCCACGUUUCAUCUCUUUUCUCUUAAUCGCCGGAGCCUCUCCUGGGACACUAGGUAAUCUGAGGGAAGAAUGGCACAUUCAGGCUCCUGGAGUUCUACAGGGGGCUGAGAUGAGGGAACAGGUGCCAUCUUGGGCAGAAUGAAGCUGAGCCUGGCUGGGAUCAUUUUGUCGGCUAACUCCACCCCGGUUUGCUAGAUUUAGAAAAGAAAAAAAAAGAACAAAAAGAAGAAAAGAAAUAAAGAAGAGAGAAAGAAAGCAGAAAGAAAAAGAAAGGAAAAAAGACAGAGAAAGAAAAAAAGUACAGAAUACCCAGACUCCAGAUCAGAAGGCGUCCACCAUACCAGUUCCCAAAUCUUACUGGUUUAAAGACCUAAGUGAACUCACAGGCCUUUAGCAGAUUAUCACAUGUCAGCCCAGGAGACUGAAAGGAAAGGACUAUCAGCAGGGAAUUGAGCUGCCUGAUAUUACGUGGUGGAUGAAUGGUGAGGACUUACCUCCUGAUCCUGAAUGUUCAUUUGGAAAGCGAUAGACUCUCAAAAUCAGAAGGGAUCUUGGAAGUCGUCUAUCGAUCAUUCAGGAUAAGAAUUCCCACAGCAGUGUACAUAAUUGAAUACUUCCAAUGACAUGGAAGUCCUUCACCGUGUAAAGCAGCCCCUUCUGUUGUUGGCAAUUCUGAUACUUCUAUUUUAUCCUGAGCCACCUUCUGCCUCCAUGUCCCUUCUACCAACUGUUACUUGUUCUGUCCUCUAGAACCAUAAAGAAUAAAAGAACAGAAUAGGUGCUCAAUAAAUAUUUGUCGAAUGA